rnacentral:lncRNA from 12 species
UUUUCUUUUGCCUUUUGAAGGUCCUGUGUAUCCUUCACCUAUUUCGAACACCACCUCUUCCAGGAGCCUUUUGCUCUCCAGUUGGGAUCAGCUACUCCUUUCAUGCUGCAGGCUGAUCCCAUCCAUGCCUCUGAGUACACAACUGGGAAUAGCAGCUGAUGGAGCGAUCAAUCCAAGUGGCAAAUCUGGAGAUGUCACUACCUUGCUUGAAGCGUGUCAGUGGUUCUCAUGGGAAAUAAUAUACAUGUCUACUGCUGGUGAGCUGAAGAAACGGGAUAUGUGCUUCCCAGAGAGACAGGUGUUGUGAACAUACACAGAUCUAAAGCAGAGAAAAGACAAAAAGUCCAUGAAAGCUGGAGACAAAGAAUAAACGCAAUGUUUGUUUUGAAUCGAAGAGGAAA